CUAUAGGGUCCCCUCUCUAUGGGAUCCCAUCCCUAUAGGGUCCCCAACCUCAUGGGAUCCCAUCCCUAUGGGGUCCCAUCCCUAUAGGGUCCCAUCCCUAUGGGGUCCCAUCCCUAUAGGGUCCCCUUCCUAUGGGGCCCCAUCCCUAUAGGGUCCCCACAUGUAUAGGAUCCCAUCCUUAGGGGGUCCCGUCCCUAUAGGGUCCCCAACCUUAUGGGAACCCAUCCUUAUGGGGUCCCGUCCCCAUAUGUCCCCUCUCUAUGGGCUCCUCGUCCCUAUAGGAUCCCUGUCCCCAUAUGUCCCCCCCAAUGUGGUCCCUGUCCCCAUAUAUCACUUCCCUAUAGGGUCCCUGUCCCCAUAUGUCCCCUCGCUAUGGGCUCCUCAUCCCUAUAGGGUCCCUGCCCCCAUAUGUCCCCCCCAUGGGGUCCCUGUCCCCAUAUGUCCCCUCGCUAUGGGGUCCCUGUCCCCAUAUGUCCCCCCCCAUGGGGUCCCCGUCCCUAUUUGUCCCUUGCUAUGGUGUCCGUGUCCCCAUAUGCCCCUCACUAUGGGGGCUGCCCCCGUUGCCGCUCACCCCCCCCCUCCAUGGCCGCUGCGCUGGGACCCGGCAACCGUCACCACGACGGCACCGGAACCAGGAACACCAGGAACACCAGUAACACCACUAACACCAGCACCCAGUGCCACCAGUAACACCAGUAGCACCAGUAUCACCAGUGCCACCAGUAACACCAGUAACACCAGAAUCGUCAGCAACCCAGUGCCACCAGUAACACCAGUAACACCAGUAACACCACUAACACCAGUAUCACCAGUGACACCAAUAACACCACUAACACCAGUAGCACCAGUAACACCACUAACACCACUAACACCAGUAAUACCAACACCCAGUGCCACCAGGGCCACCAGGAACACCAGUAACACCAGUAUCACCAGUAACACCAGCACCCAGUGCCACCAGUAGCACCAGUAACACCAUUAACACCACUUAAACCAGUAACACCACUAACACCACUAACACCAGUAACACCAGUAAUACCAGCACCCAGUGACACCAGUAACACCAGUAACACCAGUAUCACCAGUAACACCACUAACACCAGUCACACCAGUGCCAUCACCAGUGCCACCAGCACCCAGUGCCACCAGUAACACCAGUAACACCAGUAACAUGAGUAACAACACCAGUAACACCAGUGACACCAGUAACACCAGUAACACCAGUAAUACCAGCACCCAGUGCCACCAGGAACACCAGUAACACCAUUAACACCACUUAAACCAGUAACACCAGUAUCACCAGUAACACCAGCACUCAGUGCCACCAGUAACACGAGAAACACCAGUAACACCAGUAUCACCAGUGCCACCAGUGACACCAGCACCGAGUGCCACCAGUGCCACCAGUAACACCAGUAACACCACUAACACCACUAACACCACUAACACCAGUAUCACCAGUGACUCCAGCACCGAGUGCCACCAGUAACACCAGUAACACCAGUAUCACCAGUAUCACCAGUAACACCAGUAUCGUCAGUAACACAGUGCCACCAGUGCCACCAGUAACACCAGCGACACCAGUAAUACCACUAACACCAGUGACACCAGCACCCAGUGCCACCAGUAACACCACUAACACCAGUAACACCAG
ensembl:lncRNA